GACGAACGCUGGCGGCGUGCUUAACACAUGCAAGUCGAACGAUGAAGCCUUUCGGGGUGGAUUAGUGGCGAACGGGUGAGUAACACGUGGGUAAUCUGCCUUGCACUCUGGGAUAAGCCUGGGAAACUGGGUCUAAUACCGGAUAUGACUACUUCACGCAUGUGGGGUGGUGGAAAGUUCUGGCGGUGUGAGAUGAACCCGCGGCCUAUCAGCUUGUUGGUGGGGUGAUGGCCUACCAAGGCGACGACGGGUAGCCGGCCUGAGAGGGCGACCGGUCACACUGGGACUGAGACACGGCCCAGACUCCUACGGGAGGCAGCAGUGGGGAAUAUUGCACAAUGGGCGAAAGCCUGAUGCAGCGACGCCGCGUG
rnacentral:rRNA from 1 species